GCUGCUCUACAGGUGUCACAGGCAUGGCUACUCUUCUGUGUCUGUGUCAUUGAGUGGCAAAAAGGAAGUGGCUUCGCCUAUGCUCAGUCCAUGAGCACUCAGAAUAGUUAAUAGAUCAACACA